UAGGGAAUCUUCGGCAAUGGACGGAAGUCUGACCGAGCAACGCCGCGUGAGUGAAGAAGGUUUUCGGAUCGUAAAGCUCUGUUGUAAGAGAAGAACGAGUGUGAGAGUGGAAAGUUCACACUGUGACGGUAUCUUACCAGAAAGGGACGGCUAACUACGUGCCAGCAGCCGCGGUAAUACGCAGGUCCCGAGCGUUGUCCGGAUUUAUUGGGCGUAAAGCGAGCGCAGGCGGUUAGAUAAGUCUGAAGUUAAAGGCUGUGGCUUAACCAUAGUAGGCUUUGGAAACUGUUUAACUUGAGUGCAAGAGGGGAGAGUGGAAUUCCAUGUGUAGCGGUGAAAUGCGUAGAUAUAUGGAGGAACACCGGUGGCGAAAGCGGCUCUCUGGCUUGUAACUGACGCUGAGGCUCGAAAGCGUGGGGAGCAAACAGGAUUAGAUACCCUGGUAGUCCACGCUGUAAACGAUGAGUGCUAGGUGUUAGACCCUUUCCGGGGUUUAGUGCCGUAGCUAACGCAUUAAGCACUCCGCCUGGGGAGUACGACCGCAAGGUUG
rnacentral:rRNA from 1 species